UGAACAUUGAGAAAAGAUUGUUGCUGAUGUAGAGUUUUGUAACUGUGGACCCCACAGUCCAUGACAGAAACAAAUAGGACAGAAAAUUCCAUCUUCAUCACUAACAAAAGAAAAGGCAUAUUUCUAGAUUGGCUUAACGCGUGCAGUCUGCUGUCGCGCAAACAUUUAUUUCAUUCUGAUCUACCUUUUUUCUGUCUAGUCACAAGUGUGGAGGAGGAGCUAAAGAGUGUCUACGAGCUGGUGGGGGCGGUGGCGGUGGCAGUGGUCCGUUGACAUCACAAAUAUGGGGAAGGAGACGUUUCUCGAAGGAUUGUCCAAAAGGGGACCGUGGCGGUGGUAGAAGUCGUACCUGCCAUGAGGCAAAAAAAAAACAAGAAAACAUUUUUAGUGUCCAUUUUUAACGAAGAAGAGGGCCAUGUAGCAAGGGAUUUUCCUCAAGGAGGAUGCAAUGGGUUCGUUGUUUUAUCCCUAAUGUCAUGAAGCUGGUUGCACCUCGAAAGGCUGUCCGAAUCUAUUCAGUGAAUUGAUGGGAGAUGUAGAGCCGCGUAAGAAAUACAUUCCGGAAGCUGUGACAUGCGAUGAAAAGGAAUUCUUUAAGGGCAUCGUCUGUGGGAAACGCUUUAACAGUUUUGAUAAAGUCGUGCUCCAAGUUACAGGAAAAGAUGUAUCUCAAUACAUAACAUCUUUCGAAGAAGCUGCGCCAACUACUACUUCAAAACAUAAAAAAUUCUGGCUGCAUAAAACCAACACGUGUUCAGAAAGCUUCAGUUGCAGGUGGCAUACUUGGUACCGGUUUUGAACAUAUUGUUAGAACAAGGUGUUGCUGGUGCGUCUCAUGCCAUGGGGCAAAAGCCAGAAGUUGUAAUUGUCGCACCCACUCGUGAAUGGGCCAUUCAAAUUUAACGGAAGUCGUGUAAAUUAUCCUACAAUUCGGUUUUCAAGUCUGAUUAUAUAUGGAGGAACUGUCGCGAGCCAUCAAAUGUCAAAUCUUCAAGCUGGGGAAUCCGUCGUGCUUUUAUGUUUUCGGCGACAUUCCCAGAUGAAGUACAAGCGCUGGCUGCGACUUACAUGGAAGACUACGUAUUCGUCACAACAGGCAUUGUCGGUGGCACCAAUCGAGAUGUUGAACAGCUGUUUUUUCAGUGCUCGAAAAGAAAUAAGAGAGUAAGCUGAUCGAAGUUUUACAAGAUCUCGGUGAUGCCAAGACUAUCGUUUUUGACAACAGCAAAAAGACGCCGGAUUUCAUCGCUGCAUUUUUCUGCCAUAACAACUUACAAUCUACCAGCAUCCAUGGUGAUCGUCUUCUGAGUCAGCGUGAGCAGUCGACUUGUGACUUAAAAAUGGUAUUAGGAAUAUUCUCGUGGCCACUAAUGUUGCUGCCUGUAGUUUAG